UAUCAGUCAGCGCAGCGUAAUAAUAGAAACUAACCAGGAUUCCCUUAGUAACGGCGAGUGAACUGGGAUACCAAUAUAAAAUAUGCACUCUGUGCAUAAUUUAGCCCGUCGAUACUAUCCUAGCAUAUCACCGGUCUCGGCCGGUAACCAAAUAUGCGGGAAUUGUAGCAUCGUAACAACACAAAUAUAUACGCACACACACAUAUAUGCCUCACGCCUCACAGCACGUACUGACAUAUCUUGUAAACACACAGCGUCUCCGCGUUGGAAAGCAAGUAUAUAUCCUCUUUGGAUAUGCCAUAGAGUGUGACAGCCACGUUUGAAUCACUCAUAUAUGCAGUACACGCAACUCACACACAUACACAUACGGCGCGGCGUGUCGUGCACACACUAUAUAUUUAUAUAACCUGAGUCGAGUUAUUUGGGACUAUAGCUCUAAUAGUUUGGUUGGUGGUAAUGACACAUCAAAGGCUAAAUAUUGGUUAGUCGAUGCAUAUUGCGGAGACCGAUAGCAUACAAGUACCGUAAGGGAACGAUGAAAAGCACCCUAUUGAGUUCACGGCGCAGACUUGCUUCGGUUCGCCGUUGCUUGUCCCGCGCCCAACAACUACAGUGGGAGUGAAAGAGAGAGUGAAAUCGCCUAUACAUUAAAACAAUAUACUAUAUGCACACACAUACACACAGUGUAAUUGCAUACAGCAUACACACAGUCUGCGUUAGUACAAUCGGACAGAGUGUCGUAUAACUUUAUAUGGCCGCCUAAUAUACGCACACACACAAUGUAUUUUAUGGUCUGGCUCAUAGCCGGUUUCGACCGCUAUACGCGACACAACUGUACGACCCGUUUUGAAACACGGACCAAGGAGUUCAACUGGAUUACGAGUCGUAGAGUAACA
rnacentral:rRNA from 1 species